GACGAACGCUGGCGGCGUGCUUAACACAUGCAAGUCGAACGGUGAACUCCGCUUGCGGGGGGAUCAGUGGCGAACGGGUGAGUAACACGUGGGCAACCUGCCCUCAGCUCUGGGAUAACCCCAAGAAAUUGGGGCUAAUACUGGAUACGACCGCUGAUCGCAUGGUCUGGUGGUGGAAAGAUUUAUCGGCUGGGGAUGGGCCCGCGGCCUAUCAGCUUGUUGGUGGGGUAGUGGCCUACCAAGGCGACGACGGGUAGCCGGCCUGAGAGGGUGACCGGCCACACUGGGACUGAGACACGGCCCAGACUCCUACGGGAGGCAGCAGUGGGGAAUAUUGCGCAAUGGGCGAAAGCCUGACGCAGCGACGCCGCGUGGGGGAUGACGGCCUUCGGGUUGUAAACCUCUUUCAGCAGGGACGAAGCGAAAGUGACGGCACCUGCAGAAGAAGCACCGGCCAACUACGUGCCAGCAGCCGCGGUAAUACGUAGGGUGCAAGCGUUGUCCGGAAUUAUUGGGCGUAAAGAGCUCGUAGGCGGUUUGUUGCGUCGGCUGUGAAAACCUGAGGC
rnacentral:rRNA from 1 species